rnacentral:lncRNA from 1 species
UGCAAAAAUUCCAAAAAUACCUCUUAUAAACACUCUUUCUUCUAUAUUUAACAUCCCAAAACCAUCCUAACUUAUACCCAUUCAUGUCUAUAUAUUUUCUAGCAUAAAUUCAUGAAUUUUAAUCACUAUCCAACAAUAAUUAACAACAACCAAACACAACAUCAUGGUUCAAACACAAUAACACAACAACACAACAACACAACAUAGCUCACUCAAAAGCAUGUAGGAAUCAUGGUAUGAGAUAUAGAAUC